rnacentral:rRNA from 1 species
AACGAACGCUGGCGGGCAGGCCUAAAACAUGCAAGUCGAACGGGUGUAGCAAUACAUCAGUGGCGCACGGGUGAGUAACGCGUGGGAACGUGCCCUUCAGUACGGGACAACGUCGGGAAACUGACGCUAAUACCGUAUAAUAUCUCCGGAUCAAAGAUUUAUCGCUGAAGGAUCGGCCCGCGUCUGAUUAGGUUUGUUGGUGAGGUAACGGCUCACCAAGACUACGAUCAGUAGCUGGUCUGAGAGGAUGAUCAGCCACACUGGGACUGAGACACGGCCCAGACUCCUACGGGAGGCAGCAGUUAGGAAUAUUGGACAAUGGGGGAAACCCUGAUCCAGCCAUGCCGCGUGUGUGAUGAAGGCCUUAGGGUUGUAAAGCACUUUCGUUGGGGAUGAUAAUGACCGUACCCAAAGAAGAAGCCACGGCUAAAUUCGUG